rnacentral:misc_RNA from 1 species
GUGAAUCAUCAAAUUUUUGAACGCAAAUUGCACUCUCCGGUUUUCCGGGAGAGUAUGCCUGUUUGAGGGUCAGCCUAAAAAAAAAUCGACAUUGUUGCUUGUUUUAUGGUGACUUUCGUCGGAGGUGGGUUAUCUUAAACCUUUGGUUUAAGUGACUAAAAUUUUUUUUUAGGUUCCAACGAACGUUUCUAAGAUUUUCUGUUAGUUCAAAGUAU